UACGUAGGGUGCGAGCGUUGUCCGGAUUUAUUGGGCGUAAAGGGCUCGUAGGCGGCGUGUCGCGUCGGGGAGUGAAAGCCCGUUGCUUAACGGCGGGUUGCUUUCGGUACGGGCAUGCUGGAGUGCGGCAGGGGGAGACUGGAAUUCCUGGUGUAGCGGUGGAAUGCGCAGAUAUCGAGAGGAACACCUGCGGCGAAGGCGGGUUGCUGGGCCGACACUGACGCUGAUGCGCGAAAGCCAGGGGAGGCGAACGGG
rnacentral:rRNA from 1 species